rnacentral:snRNA from 1 species
GUGCUUGCUUUGGCAGCACAUAUACUAAAAUUGGAAUGAUACAGAGAUUAGCAUGGCCCUGCACAAGGAUGGCACGCAAAUUCGUGAAGCAUUCCAUAUUUUU